UCGAGACCAAAACACAUCAAAUGAUUAGGAGAACUCGUGAAGCGAGCGGCGGUGGUUGCUACCGCGGGAUGACCAUCCCGGCCGUCGCCUCAUCCCCUCCUGGGAGGGGUGCGGGGGGUACAACUGGGGACAGAUGAAACACGAACCAGCGCAGCUCCGCGCUAAGGGAAAAUUGAAAUGCACGGGCCCUGCAUCGGGCUCAGUGGCGUGGAGCACCGUUGCACUCCAUCCGGAUGGACACGACUCUCGAAAAUGGAUAUCUUGGCUCUCACAUCAAUGAAGAGCGUAGCGAAAUGCGAUAUGUGAUGCGAAUUGUAGAAUCCCGCGAACCAUCAAGUCUUUGAACGCAAGUUACGCUCGAGGUCAGCCGGCCAAGGGCACGUCCGCUUGGGCGUCAAGCAUCGCGUCUCUCUGUGCCAACUCUGUCACCCCGAUGGGUGUAUGUCGGCUGAGGCACAGACGUGCAGGGUGGCCCGUCGUGCCCUCCGGCGCGGCGAGCUGAAGAGUCGGUCGUCGUCUCACUUGUUGUGGGCAACGAGGGGUGGGUGAAAGCUGUGAGCACAGCCCGCAUUGUCUCGUGUGGAGCCUGAGAGAACGAUGGUGCCCCUAAGGUAAUCCCGACCCACACACCGAUCUACAUGCGACGGCUUGGAAU
rnacentral:rRNA from 1 species